rnacentral:tRNA from 1 species
GGAGAGAUGGCAGAGUGGUCGAUCGCGGCAGACUUGAAAUCUGUUAAAGGCGUAAGUCUUUCGGGGGUUCGAAUCCCUCUCUCUCCGCCA